UCAACCAAUCUCUUACCUCCAGUUCUCAAUGUCAGGCCUGACGGGACAUGCCCUUUGCCCUGCUAGACUGAUUAGUUCUGAAGUUUAAUUGGGAAGGCCACAUUUCCUAAUCCUGAGCUUGAAUGUAAUGUUCUAUUGAAGAACUGCUGCCAGGGUUCUCAGCAAUUGUGACUUGACAGCUAGCACUUGUUACCUUGGCUGAGGAAGUCAGGAGGAAGGAUACAAGACAACUACUGUCACCACUCCUGUUACCAUGGUGCUGGGAGGCCCAGCCAACUCUUUAAGAAAAGGAAAAGGAGUGUAUGGCCUGGAAGAGAAGAGAUGAAGGAAGACAGCAUCAUCUACUUAGCAGGAGAAAGAAUCAAAGCCAAAUUGUGAAGGUCUAUUCAGGAGCUCCGAAAGGCAAGCAGCUCCACCGAUACUCCCGGUCCUUUCUGAAGCAGCUGUAAGAGCCACAACUUUAGGAACAGCAAAACUGAAGUGGCCUGCCACCACCUUGCAAUAAAGUUUUCCUGGCAGUGCCCCA